GGGGGUGUACUGGUUUUGACAGAUAUCUAAUUUAUUAUGUUGCAGUAGUGUGGCAGACUAUAAUUGCUACUAGGCUUCUUUAAAUGCAGAAGAAAACAAUGAAAUCGCUUUAGACUCAAACUUUAUGAUGUCAAGAGCACAAUACAACUACGCAUACUAAUUUUAGCGAGUUGCGGACUGUAAAUAGCUCGGUUUACAAUCAUCCGUCGGAGAGCUAGAUGCAAAUAACUUUAGGUUGUUAUUGCUUUGAAAAUCUUAACCUAAAGAAUCUAUUUUGAGUUUGUUAUUUUAUAUAUCUAGAUUCUUAAAACUAAAAAUGAAUAAACUGUAGACGCAUAAUAAAAAGGGUAUGUGGACCGGGGUUCGACUCCCCGCAUCUCCACCA
rnacentral:tmRNA from 1 species